UACGGGGGGGGCAAGCGUUGUUCGGAAUUACUGGGCGUAAAGGGCUCGUAGGCGGCCAACUAAGUCAGACGUGAAAUCCCUCGGCUUAACCGGGGAACUGCGUCUGAUACUGGAUGGCUUGAGAUUGGGAGAGGGAUGCGGAAUUCCAGGUGUAGCGGUGAAAUGCGUAGAUAUCUGGAGGAACACCGGUGGCGAAGGCGGCAUCCUGGACCAAUUCUGACGCUGAGGAGCGAAAGCCAGGGGAGCAAACGGG
rnacentral:rRNA from 1 species